rnacentral:lncRNA from 1 species
AUUUGGCCAUCUCCUGCCGGUAAUUCUGCUGUUUCUCUCCUUUCUUUCCUCCUACUGCUCAUGCUAUAUUUCCAUGGCAUCGAGGGCUCCCGAGCUAGUCUGUUGUUCACCAAACUUUCUACUCGUGAUCUGUCUAUCUCAAGAGACUCUACUAUUGUCAGCUGCACAUUUCUCACUACAGGUUUUAAACAUCUAGCUUCUUCCCAUUUUAUUGUGGCAUCCCUAUCAUAUGCUUCACAUGCCAAGGCAGUGUUCAGGUCCGCUCUUAAAAUAUCAUUUUUAUGUUCUCCCAUGCGCUUUUCCACCUGUGCAUAAGAC